rnacentral:misc_RNA from 1 species
GAUGAAGAACGUAGUGAAAUGCGAUAAGUAAUGUGAAUUGCAGAAUUCAGUGAAUCAUCGAAUCCUUGAACGCACAUUGCGCCCGCCAGUAUUCUGGCGGGCAUGCCUGUUCGAGCGUCAUUUCAACCAUCAAGCCCCCGGCUUGUGUUGGGGACCUGCGGCUGCCGCAGGCCCUGAAAACCAGUGGCGGGCUCGCUAGUCACUCCGAGCGUAGUAAUACAUCUCGCUCAGGGCGUGCUGCGGGUUCCGGCCGUUAAAAAGCCUUAUUUACCCAAGGUUGACCUCGGAUCAGGUAGGAAGACCCGCUGAACUUAAGCAUAUCAAUAAGCGGAGGA